AUUGAACGCUGGCGGCAUGCUUUACACAUGCAAGUCGAACGGUAACAGGCCGCAAGGUGCUGACGAGUGGCGAACGGGUGAGUAAUGCAUCGGAACGUGCCCAGUCGUGGGGGAUAACUACUCGAAAGAGUAGCUAAUACCGCAUACGAUCUAUGGAUGAAAGCGGGGGACCGUAAGGCCUCGCGCGAUUGGAGCGGCCGAUGUCAGAUUAGGUAGUUGGUGGGGUAAAGGCUCACCAAGCCAACGAUCUGUAGCUGGUCUGAGAGGACGACCAGCCACACUGGGACUGAGACACGGCCCAGACUACUACGGGAGGCAGCAGUGGGGAAUUUUGGACAAUGGGCGCAAGCCUGAUCCAGCAAUGCCGCGUGCAGGAAGAAGGCCUUCGGGUUGUAAACUGCUUUUGUACGGAACGAAACGGCUCUGGUUAAUACCCGGGGCUAAUGACGGUACCGUAAGAAUAAGCACCGGCUAACUACGUG
rnacentral:rRNA from 1 species